rnacentral:rRNA from 1 species
AAAUUGAAGAGUUUGAUCAUGGCUCAGAUUGAACGCUGGCGGCAGGCCUAACACAUGCAAGUCGAGCGGUAGCACAGAGAGCUUGCUCUCGGGUGACGAGCGGCGGACGGGUGAGUAAUGUCUGGGAAACUGCCUGAUGGAGGGGGAUAACUACUGGAAACGGUAGCUAAUACCGCAUAAUGUCGCAAGACCAAAGUGGGGGACCUUCGGGCCUCAUGCCAUCAGAUGUGCCCAGAUGGGAUUAGCUAGUAGGUGGGGUAACGGCUCACCUAGGCGACGAUCCCUAGCUGGUCUGAGAGGAUGACCAGCCACACUGGAACUGAGACACGGUCCAGACUCCUACGGGAGGCAGCAGUGGGGAAUAUUGCACAAUGGGCGCAAGCCUGAUGCAGCCAUGCCGCGUGUGUGAAGAAGGCCUUCGGGUUGUAAAGCACUUUCAGCGGGGAGGAAGGCGGUGAGGUUAAUAACCUCAUCGAUUGACGUUACCCGCAGAAGAAGCACCGGCUAACUCCGUGCCAGCAGCCGCGGUAAUACGGAGGGUGCAAGCGUUAAUCGGAAUUACUGGGCGUAAAGCGCACGCAGGCGGUCUGUCAAGUCGGA